AUGAUCCCACCUUUUCAAGGAAUGCUUGCUUGGGGCUUAGGCUUAAAAACAAUGGUUUAUGUCACUCACCAGAUUGAAUUCCGGCCUGCAGCCGAUCUUAUUUUGGUAAUGAACGGCGGGAGAAUAGCACAAGCAGACAAAUACAACGAUAUACUUAGUUCAGGAGCGGACCUAGCAGAACUGGUUGGUCCUCACCAAGAGCCUCUCACAACAUUGGACGUGAUUGAUGUUGCCAAUGGAGGUGAUGAGACAUUCUCUUCGAGCCUAUCCAGGCCAUUGUCAUUGGUUGAAGAGAAAGAUAAACAAAAUGGCAAAUAA
rnacentral:rRNA from 1 species